rnacentral:rRNA from 1 species
UACGGGGGGGGCAAGCGUUGUUCGGAAUUACUGGGCGUAAAGGGCUCGUAGGCGGCCAACUAAGUCAGACGUGAAAUCCCUCGGCUUAACCGGGGAACUGCUUCUGAUACUGGAUGGCUUGAGUUUGGGAGAGGGAUGCGGAAUUCCAGGUGUAGCGGUGAAAUGCGCAGAUAUCAGGAGGAAUACCGGUGGCGAAGGCGGCAUCCUGGACCGGCAUUGACGCUGAUGAGCGAAAGCUAGGGGAGCAAACGGG